AACAAAGGAGAGUGUGACGCUAGCUUGGUUAAUAGGUUCUCUGCUCUUAAUUGCAGGAUGCUAUUUUUUUGGCAUUAUGGCUCCUGCUGCACGUAGCCCCCACUCUACUGAUGCUAGUCGUCCUUAAUGCUCUUGUCUUGAGAGGUGCUCGAUAAAUUUAUACUGAUAAUUCCAGGAUCGACCGUUAGCUGAUUACCUUGUCAACAAACAGUCCAAACCACAUCUAUAUAUCAAUCCAGCGUACGGAGGGACCAGACCAGUACCAUUUAGAGUAACUCUACCCCCACUGGGGAACUCGUGACUGCGUGAUGGGUGCAAGCGGGACCAUUGGAGACAGAUAUACGAACACUUGGAAGUGGAAAUGAAACUAGCUUAACAGUCAACAUGUGUGAGUGUGUGUAUAUAUCUAAGAGCCCCACAAGGAAACCGAAGAGGGAUACUAGCGAGUGAAAGGAAUCAGAAUGGAUGAGGGAGGAGGACUCAAGCAUGUAAUGGUAAUGGUGGGGCUUCAGUGCAUAUAUGCAGGGAUUGCUAUCUUCUCAAAGGAAGCAUUCCUGCAAGGCAUGAAGCCUCCGAUCUUUGUUGCUUACCGGCAGGUCAUUACUGCUUUGAUCAUCGUACCUCCUGCCCUUUACAAUAGGAGGAGAAAUUCAUUGAGCUUGUGCUUGGGAUGGAAGAUCUCUGGAUUGAUAUUCGCAGCCGCUUUUCUCGGGAUAGCAGUUAACGCGAAUGCAUAUUUUGAAGGCCUCAACUUGUCCUCGGCUACCGUAGCCACUGCCAUGGUCAAUCUUCUUCCUGUGUUAAUCUUUGUGAUGGCAACUGCAGUAGGAUUGGAGAAGUUUGAUUUCCGGAGCAUGAGAAGCAUGGCAAAAGUUCUUGGGACGGUGGUGUGUGUUGGUGGAGCUAUUUCAAUGGCACUCAUCAAAGGCCCAGAACUGCUGCAGAGCAAAGGAGAAUAUAUGCAGACAAGAACGUUGUUGCAGGGAUUGCGAUUACAGAAUUGGUUACUGGGUUGUCUGUUUCUCUUCGGAGGCUGCUGCUGCUGGUCAUCUUGGCUUAUGCUACAGGUACCCAUAUCAGCAAACUGUCCAGAUGACUUGUAUACAACAGCCUGGACGUGUUUCUUCGGGAUGCUACAAUCUGCAGCUCUUGCACUAGUAUUGGAGAGGGAAUGGGAAGUUUGGAGAAUUAACACAGCUCUUGAAUAUGGUGCUUGCUUGUUCGCAGGUGUGGGAGCUGCAUUCGCAUUCUUCGGUCAAGCCUGGUGCGUUUCACGAAGGGGGCCAGUGUUCACUGCAAUGUUCAACCCUCUGAACACGGUCCUGGCAACCAUUUUCGCAUGCAUAUUUCUCCAUGAAGCACUAUACGUUGGAAGCUUGUUGGGUGCUGGGGCAGUCAUUGUUGGGCUAUACAUAGUACUGUGGGGAAAGGCCAAAGAUCAGAAGGACACCAAGCAUGAGCAAGAAGAGGCUCCCGCAGGAAUAUCGACAUGUGAUGAUAUUCCCAUCCAAAGCAAUAAUGAUCAUCAAGUCCUUGCAGAUGGAUCACCCAAGAAGACGACGGAGAAGAAUCCCGCUAUGCAUCUGCGAGAACCGUUAUUGUCCUUGCAUCGUCACAACACAUCAAAUCCUGAAGAGCCUUGAGAGCUUCAUUUCCUUGUUUCAAUUGGAAGCUUGUUGGGUGCUGGGGCAGUCAUUGUUGGGCUAUACACAUAGUAUUUUGGGGAAAGGCCGAAGAUCAUCAGGACACACAAGCGUAAGGAAGAAGAGGCUCCUGCAGGAAUAUCGACAUGUAAAGACAUUCCCAUCCAAAGCAAUGAUGAUCAUCAAGUCCUUGCAGAUGGAUCAUCCAAGGAGAGGACUCCCCCUAUGGAUCUGCAAGAACCCUUCUUGUUCUUGCAUCGUCAUAGCACAUCAAAUCUUGAAGAGCCUUGAGGCCCUUGAGAGCUUCAUUUCCUUAUUUCAAUUGGGCCAGCCCAAGUUCAGUUUUCUGGAAAAUAUGCUAAUGCAUAUCAGGGUUAUAUCCUCCAUUAUAACAUUUCAAUUGCAUCGUUUCAUGUCUUUUGUUUUCCUCUCCCUAACUUCAUGUCUUCUGAUCAACGAUUCACAGCAUUAUAUUAAGGUCUUAUUUGAAGCUAGCUCCUCUUAAUAGAUCUCCUAUUCAAAGGAAAACAUGGGAGAGGAAAACACUCCUAUUCAGCAAAAAGGAAAACACUUCUAUUCAGCAAAGAGGAAGAACAACGGAGAAAGUGUGACACUUUUAUGGAGGUCAAAGCGGAAACUCAUAAUUCUGUGCUCAAUAGAUCUUGUCUGGUUCUCAGACUCGAGCUCUCUAUUUGUCUUGGUUGUUUUAUGGCUAUAAGGCUUGAAGCGCCAAUUAUUUUGAUGUUUGACCAUUUUAUCAGAACAUCUAGUGUUGUUGUCUCCGAAUCUCCUCAAGAUAUGUAUUGCUGGGACGGAUCAUACUAGACUACAUAUCACUGUCAUAGGGGAGGAAGAGGAGGAAUACAGAGGACUCUAGUUUGUUGCUUGCGUCUCAUCGGUUAAGAUGCUCUAGUCACUGCCCAAUUCCUGCAAUGCUCAAUCCUUGAAUCACUGCCAUCAUGGCCUUCCUCACUUUUGUUCUUCUGCUCAUAGAGGUACUUGCUGGAAUGUAACAAUUCAGUCUACCAAAUACCGAGCAUAUUGGGAGGCCUGAUUGCAAAUAGAGAACUGGGUACUAGGUUGCCUGUUGCUCUUUGGAAGCAGCUGCUGCUGGUCGUCCUGGCUUAUAUUGCAAGCACGAUCUCUGUUCAGAAAAGAUUCUCGGCUCUCACCAUUUCUAAGGCCUUCCGAAACUUACAGGCAACUAGAGUUCACAGCGUUUAGGGGCGGAAAUGAAACAACACUGUGGAUUUGAUUGCUGUUCCUAUAAUUAUUACUGCCACCUAUUUAACAAAUCUUCCCAUUUUGCUUUUAGACAGAUACCGAUAUCAACAGACUGUCCAGAUCACUCGUAUUCAGCUGCCUGGACGUGUUUCUUCGGGAUGCUACAAUCGGCCAUCCUUGUAAUUUUCUUUGAGAGGGAAUGGGAAGCUUGGAGGAUAAAAACAGCUCUUGAACUCGGUGCUUGCUUUUUCUCACUUGAUGGGUGCUGGGGCAGUCAUUAUUGGGCUAUACAUAGUUCUGUGGGGAAAGGCCAUAGAUCACAAGGAUACAAAGCACGAGCAAGAAGAGGCUCCUGUAAGAAUAUCAGCAUGUGAUGAUGUUCCCAUCCUAAGAAACGAUGAUUAUGAUGUCCUUCCAGAUGGAUCAUCCAAGAACACGAAGAAGAAGACUCCAUCUACUGACCUGCAAGAACUGUUCUUGCAUCACAAGACAUCAAAUCCUGAGGAGCCUUGAACUCCAUUUUUCCUUUUUAUUUAUCCAUUCAUACGACGUAACUUUCAUUUCGGGCCACCAUAUAUUAUAUCGGCCCUUGUUUUAUCAAGUCUAAUUGCCUGUAAGUAUUUGGAUCGCACUGGUUCGGCUCAUAUUUAAAAGGACGGUUCAUAUUAAAUUAUGAGAAA